AUGAAACACUCCUACGGGAGGCAGCAGUAGGGAAUAUUGGACAAUGGGCGAAAGCCUGAUCCAGCAAUGCCGCGUGAGUGAUGAAGGCCUUAGGGUUGUAAAGCUCUUUUACCCGAGAUGAUAAUGACAGUAUCGGGAGAAUAAGCUCCGGCUAACUCCGUGCCAGCAGCCGCGGUAAUACGGAGGGAGCUAGCGUUGUUCGGAAUUACUGGGCGUAAAGCGCACGUAGGCGGCGAUUUAAGUCAGAGGUGAAAGCCCGGGGCUCAACCCCGGAACUGCCUUUGAGACUGGAUUGCUAGAAUCUUGGAGAGGCGAGUGGAAUUCCGAGUGUAGAGGUGAAAUUCGUAGAUAUUCGGAAGAACACCAGUGGCGAAGGCGGCUCGCUGGACAAGUAUUGACGCUGAGGUGCGAAAGCGUGGGGAGCAAACAGGAUUAGAAACCCUUGUAGUCCGAAGUUC
rnacentral:rRNA from 1 species